CCAGGGGGUACUAGAGAACCACGACGGGCCAUCCUACAAGGCAUCGACGGCUUCCGAUCAGACAUCGUAAACUGGUCGUUAUCCUGUCGGAAACAAUAGAGUAAACCGACACAUCAGGUGAUGGUGGUUUUACGAAGGACGGCAACUAGGAAUUGUGUUUAUAUCGCUGCCAUCGCUUGAAGACAGGAACAAGAUGGUGGAUGGAUGUCACGCAAGACAAUAUGCAAUUCUUGCGUGACACAUGAUAAAUCAGGCCAGAAUGAUCCCGUGUAAUAAGCGCCGGUAGUGCCGGCGAUAGGUUGGAAGCCAAAGAAAGUCACCGUUCGCGGCCCGAUGCGGGCGGACUAAGCAUCAUCUUCAACUUCGCCUUCGGUACAAACUGCAAGAUCCCUGCAGCUCCCAGCCCAAAAAUAAUAAAGAGAAUCAAGGACCGUUGUC